rnacentral:rRNA from 1 species
UACGUAGGGGGCGAGCGUUGUCCGGAUUCAUUGGGCGUAAAGCGCGCGUAGGCGGCUCCGCAAGUCGGCCGUGAAAUCUCCGGGCUCAACUCGGAGGGUCGGGCGAGACUGCGAGGCUCGAGGUGGGCAGAGGGCAGUGGAAUUCCGGGUGUAGUGGUGGAAUGCGUAGAGAUCCGGAGGAACACCAGUGGCGAAGGCGGCUGCCUGGGCCUGGCCUGACGCUGAGGCGCGAAAGCGUGGGGAGCAAACAGG